rnacentral:rRNA from 1 species
CGAAGCGAAGCAGUGAUGUGAAGCAAAUCGCACCAAAGCCGGUCCCCAGUUCGGAUAAGAGGCUGAAACUCGCCUCUUUGAAGUCGGAAUCGCUAGUAAUCGCAGAUCAGCAUGUUGCGGUGAAUACGUUCCCGGGUCUUGUACACACCGCCCGUCAAACCAUGAGAGUCACCAACACCCGAAGUCCGCUUUGGCGGCCUAAGGUGGGGAGAUGAUUGGGGUUAAGUCGUAACAAGGUAAC